UCUACAUCGUAGGAUUUGGAAACAUUGUGAUGUUUUCUCAUGAAUAUACGUUUAAAAUAAAUAAACACUAAAAGUACACGCUGACAGUUGAUUACGAUACAUCCAACAAUUUGAGUCAUUACAGUUAAACAUGGAUUAUAAGUGAAAUAUACGCGUAAGAGAAGAUUUUCUCUCGAAAAAAACGAACUGUCAACAAUCGGCAUGGAACUGGGAUAUUCGUAUCAAAGGGCUCUGAAUGCAGGAAAAUGACUGAAUAUUACUUAGUCUACAACACUGGGUUAUGAAGAAUUCCAGCCUGCAUUAAAUACUAUGUUGGAUCCUUGAGAGCGGAUUUGACAGCCAUGUCCAUCCACAAGGCAGUCGCAUCUGAUCGAGAUGAUCACUAAACAUUCUUGAUGGGUAAAGUACCUGAAGGUGCAUGAAAACCAAAUCAGCAUUGUCUCAGCAUUGAGUAGUUAUCAUCUGUGCACACACUACAAGUACAAAGCAUGGGAACAGACCAAACUUCAAAUGUUGAAGAGUGAAGAAUUAUUGUGAAAAAAACUAAUUGUUAAAAUACCAAUGACAAAAUAAAACAGAUAUACAUCAAAUUACCCACAGAGAUUGUUUACAUGUUAUAAUAUUAAAAAAAACAACAUUAGUUGAGAACUUUCACUCUGAUAUUUUUGGAGGGGCGAGCCCACUUAGUGUUCUUGUUUCUUCACAUAUUUUAGUUUAAGUACACUCAUUUGUUUUAAACUCUGUAUUCUGAGUUAGUAUCAUAAGUAAAAUUCAUUUAUUUGAAAGAGUACAUUUUAUGAAUAAGUCCAAUUAAGCUUUAUAAUUUUUUACAAGAAAAAGGUUGAUUUUUAAGCAUUUUAUUAGCUAUAAAAAUGUAUGGUAACAUGACAUUAUGUAUAUUUUCUUCAAAACUGGAUGGUAAACUAUCAUAAAUUGUCUUUUAAAUAGUUCAAUAGACAUCAUAGAUAAUAUCUAAAAUGAUUUCAGCAGCUUGCCUUAUAGUUUACUAUUUUUUAUGAAUUUUAUAAAACUGCUAUAUAUUUUCAAACAUCGAAAAACUGCUCUUUUCCGAAGAAUCAUAAGAUCAAUCAAAAUGAUUUUUUUCCAUGUGUAUCAAUAAUGUGUUCUUUUGAACUUUAGUUUUCUUUAACUGAAGUUUAUUUUACCAGAAACUGUUGUGUUUAUUUCAUAAUCUCUGAUAAUGCGAAAAAAAAUCAAAUAUAGACAAAAUAUUUACUUGUCGCUCUUUGUAGCCCUUGGAGUUUGGGGGUGGGUGUAAUGAAACAUGAAUAACUUUUUUAAUUCACGGUAAAAAAUCUUCAAAAUUUGGAUAAAAGUCCCAUAGUGUACCGUGAUUAUAACUAUGUUGUCGGUUUAAGCUGUUAAAAAAGUGUGUAUUACGCGGCUAAUACCUUAAGAGGUUUUUAAACAAACUCUGCUUGAAUCAUUCUUCAGAAGUUCCAAACAUAAUAAUUGAAUGUCCUUUUUUUAUAAAUGAAUGUCCUUUUUUAAGGAUAAUAUUAUAUCAUUAAUUUCAAGUUUCCAAAAAUGUUCCAUUCAGAGUGAAUUUGAUACCCAUAAGGAGCAGAUACAAAAUGCUUGGCAUAAAUUUUUCCUGUGGUGAAAAUUCACAGUGAUGAGUAAAACAUUGACCAAAUUUCAUAGAAAUCCUUCAAGAGGCUAAGGAGUU